GGACAAGAAAGCUGCGGCCGUACUGUUCGUAGUCUUCCGCGGUGAUACAACUUGCCAGACCCAUCUCCUGCGAGCCCUGAGCGAGAAUAAAAAUAAUUAUAUUUUCCCGGAUUCUAAGGAAGCUACCGACGUUAAAGCCCAGAAGACUUUGACGAACCGCAGCAUUAGGAAAACAUUUUAAUAUUUACUUAAGAUAUUUAAUACUUCCCAUACCUGGUUGCCAUCUUCGACGCGAGAAUGGUGCACAUUAUACGCUACAACGAAGCCGUUCGGGUCUUCCGGUGGCUGCCACGUUACGUUCACUUCGGGCAGAGUUUUAUUCGAUGGCAAUAUUUCGGCGUGUAAAUUCCUUACAACAUCAGCGUUCACUAAAACAAUAAAAAUACCAUAUAAGAGUUAAUUAAAGCUU